UACGUAGGCAGCGAGCGUUGUUCGGAAUUACUGGGCGUAAAGAGUGUGUAGGCGGUGCUCUAAGUUUGGUGUGAAAUCUCCCGGCUUAACUGGGAGGGUGCGCCGAAAACUGGAGUGCUCGAGUAUGGGAGAGGUAAGCGGAAUUCCUGGUGUAGCGGUGAAAUGCGUAGAUAUCAGGAGGAACACCUGUGGUGUAGACAGCUUACUGGACCAUUACUGACGCUGAGACACGAAAGUGUGGGUAGCAAACAGG
rnacentral:rRNA from 1 species